GUCACACACCGCCUGGAUGGGCAGUUUUCCCUUGAUAGGGGUCGUUGGGUUCCGCGGCUUCAGCUGGACAAUGGUGUUGGCUUUUCGCUUCAGGCCUUCCAGGCAACAGUCACAUGAGAAGGAGAAAAAGAAACUCUUCAAAGCAUCACCUCUAUCGUCUUCCUGGCGGGGUGUCCGUCUCUCAGCAGUUUGUCGCCUGUCGCCUGGACGCCGUUCACCUUCUUUUCCCGGAGUUCCAGCUCUCUCAUCAAACCCUGUGGAGCAGCAGAACCACCGUCAUUCCACUGAGAUCAAACCAGCGGGAAAGAGGGAGUCACUUUGUCACGCUACCGAGUAGUUGUCCUUCUUGGACACCAUGUUGGUGUUUCGUUCGCUCCAGUCGUAGUUGACCUCCUCCUCCUCCUUCUCAUUGAGCCACAUGAGUUCUUUGGUCGCUGCACUGACAAAAGUGUGGAGCUCCACUAGGGAGCGCAAACGGGCCUUUGAUGCGGUCUGCAGGGACACAGAAGAAUGAGAUAAAGGAAUUAUUUUGGACCUCUUCCUACAUUUUCACUAACUAUUCCUCUGACUCACCAGGAGCUUUCCGUACUGAAGCUCCAGUUUUCCCAGAUACUCGCGGUAUGCUGGUUUACUGACGGGUGAAAUCUGACCCUGGAAAAGAAAAAAAAAAAAGAAAAAAA